GUGAAAUGCGUAGAUAUCAGGAGGAAUACCGGUGGCGAAGGCGACUUUCUGGACUUUAACUGACGCUGAGGUACGAAAGCGCGGGGAGCAAACAGGAUUAGAUACCCUGGUAGUCCGCGCCGUAAACGAUGAAUGCUAGGUAUUGGGAGUCAAAUUUCAGUGCCGAAGUAAACACAUUAAGCAUUCCGCCUGGGGAGUACGGUGGCAACACUGAAACUCAAAGGAAUUGACGGGGACCCGCACAAGCAGCGGAGCAUGUGGUUUAAUUCGAUGCAACGCGAAGAACCUUACCGGGGCUUGACAUAUACUUGAAGUAUGUAGAGAUACAUAUGAUUCUUCGGAAACAGGUAAACAGGUGGUGCAUGGUUGUCGUCAGCUCGUGUCGUGAGAUGUUGGGUUAGGUCCCGCAACGAGCGCAACCCCUAUGCUUAGUUACCAGCAGUAAGAUGGGGACUCUAAGCAGACUGCCGAUGAUAAAUCGGAGGAAGGCGGGGAAGACGUCAAAUCAUCAUGCCCUAUAUGUCCCGGGCUACACACGUGCUACAAUGGUCGGUACAGAGGGAAGCGACAUAGAGAUAUGAAGCGAACCCCAAAAAGCCGGUCCCAGUUCGGAUUGUAGGCUGCAAUUCGCUUACAUGAAGUCGGAGUUGUUAGUAAUCGCAAAUCAGAAUGUUGCGGUGAAUGCGUUCCCGGGUCUUGUACACACCGCCCGUCGCACCAUGGGAGUUAAAAAUACCCGAAGCCGGUGAGCUAACCGCAAGGGAGCAGCCGUCGAAGGUAGGGUUAAUGACUGGGGUGAAGUCGUAACAAGGUAGCCGUAAUU
rnacentral:rRNA from 1 species